rnacentral:misc_RNA from 1 species
CUUUUCCAUUGUCAUUGAAGAUCCAGUAGUAGGGGAGAUAUUCUCCAGCCCACUGCUACCACAAAGAAUUUUUGCUCCACAUCCAAUUGUAUCAGCUGUUCCGACAGCCUCUUCAUCAACCAAGACAACCUCUACAGAUUCCUCGCCUGGCUUGCUUCCAGGAACCUCAAACAUGGCUUCAGUCAGUAUACUUUCUAGUAUAGAUCUUAAGCCACGUGCACCAGUGUUUUUGGCAAUGGCUUUCUCAGCAACAAGUCGAAGUGCAUUCCCGGUAAACUGUAAUUUGACAUUAUUCAAGUUGAACAUUUGCUUGUAUUGCUUGCAAAGAGCAUUUUUGGGUUCUGUGAGAGCAAAAAUAAGGAUCCACAAUUAAAAGGAAAAAAAUGAAG